GAUGAACGCUGGCGGCGUGCCUAAUACAUGCAAGUCGAGCGAACGGACGAGAAGCUUGCUUCUCUGAUGUUAGCGGCGGACGGGUGAGUAACACGUGGAUAACCUACCUAUAAGACUGGGAUAACUUCGGGAAACCGGAGCUAAUACCGGAUAAUAUUUUGAACCGCAUGGUUCAAAAGUGAAAGACGGUCUUGCUGUCACUUAUAGAUGGAUCCGCGCUGCAUUAGCUAGUUGGUAAGGUAACGGCUUACCAAGGCAACGAUGCAUAGCCGACCUGAGAGGGUGAUCGGCCACACUGGAACUGAGACACGGUCCAGACUCCUACGGGAGGCAGCAGUAGGGAAUCUUCCGCAAUGGGCGAAAGCCUGACGGAGCAACGCCGCGUGAGUGAUGAAGGUCUUCGGAUCGUAAAACUCUGUUAUUAGGGAAGAACAUAUGUGUAAGUAACUGUGCACAUCUUGACGGUACCUAAUCAGAAAGCCACGGCUAACUACGUGCCGGCAGCCGCGGUAAUACGUAGGUGGCAAGCGUUAUCCGGAAUUAUUGGGCGUAAAGCGCGCGUAGGCGGUUUUUUAGUCUGAUGUGAAAGCCCACGGCUCAACCGUGGAGGGUCAUUGGAAACUGGAAAACUUGAGUGCAGAAGAGGAAAGUGGAAUUCCAUGUGUAGCGGUGAAAUGCGCAGAGAUAUGGAGGAACACCAGUGGCGAAGGCGACUUUCUGGUCUGUAACUGACGCUGAUGUGCGAAAGCGUGGGGAUCAAACAGGAUUAGAUACCCUGGUAGUCCACGCCGUAAACGAUGAGUGCUAAGUGUUAGGGGGUUUCCGCCCCUUAGUGCUGCAGCUAACGCAUUAAGCACUCCGCCUGGGGAGUACGACCGCAAGGUUGAAACUCAAAGGAAUUGACGGGGACCCGCACAAGCGGUGGAGCAUGUGGUUUAAUUCGAAGCAACGCGAAGAACCUUACCAAAUCUUGACAUCCUUUGACAACUCUAGAGAUAGAGCCUUCCCCUUCGGGGGACAAAGUGACAGGUGGUGCAUGGUUGUCGUCAGCUCGUGUCGUGAGAUGUUGGGUUAAGUCCCGCAACGAGCGCAACCCUUAAGCUUAGUUGCCAUCAUUAAGUUGGGCACUCUAAGUUGACUGCCGGUGACAAACCGGAGGAAGGUGGGGAUGACGUCAAAUCAUCAUGCCCCUUAUGAUUUGGGCUACACACGUGCUACAAUGGACAAUACAAAGGGCAGCGAAACCGCGAGGUCAAGCAAAUCCCAUAAAGUUGUUCUCAGUUCGGAUUGUAGUCUGCAACUCGACUACAUGAAGCUGGAAUCGCUAGUAAUCGUAGAUCAGCAUGCUACGGUGAAUACGUUCCCGGGUCU
rnacentral:rRNA from 1 species